rnacentral:ribozyme from 1 species
GGUAAACCCCCCGUCCUGAAAGGUGGUGAAUUAGCCAAGAGAUCCUCAAGAAAAAGAGCUGCUCAGAAAGCCGAAGAGGAAGCCAAAGAAGAAGGAAAUGUCCAAGAAAUGGAAAAAAUGGCAAAAAGAACAGUGCAUAUUACGAAGCAAAUGACUGAAGAUUGCAAAAAAUUGUUAAGAUUGA